CACACGACUCUCGGCAACGGAUAUCUCGGCUCUCGCAUCGAUGAAGAACGUAGCGAAAUGCGAUACCUGGUGUGAAUUGCAGAAUCCCGNGAACCAUCGAGUCUUUGAACGCAAGUUGCGCCCGAGGCCACUCGGCCGAGGGCACGCCUGCCUGGGCGUCACGC
rnacentral:rRNA from 1 species